UACGAGGAGGCUAGCGUUGUUCGGAAUCACUGGGCGUAAAGCGCACGUAGGCGGAUGUGCCAGUCAGGGUGAAAUCCGGAGCUCAACUCCGGAACUGCCUCUGAUACAGCACGUCUUGAGUUCGAGAGAGGUGGUGGAAUUCCUAGUGUAGAGGUGAAAUUCGUAGAUAUUGGGAAGAACACCAGUGGCGAAGGCGGCUAACUGGUCCAGAUCUGACGCUGAGGUGCGAAAGCGUGGGAGCAAACAGG
rnacentral:rRNA from 1 species